CAGACCGACCAGACCGGACCUGUCGCACCCACAACGGUCAGACAGACAGGAAACAUUCAGUGCUGGAGACUAACUCAAUACAUUUACUCAGUGGUCCCGGUUCUUCUGACCUUUCUUCUUGGUGUACUGCUGUGGUGCCGUCCAGCCAUACAGGCCGUCGCCCGGCUCCUCUCCUCCCAGAACCGUGUCGUAUCUGGACAUGGAGUCUCUGUGGUAAACUUCUUCAUCGUCAUCAUCCUCCAGGGCGCCCACCC